GUCUAUGGCCAUGCCACCCUGAACAAGCCCGAUGUCUGAUCUCAGAAGCUAAGCAAGGUAGGGCCUGGUUAGACUUGGAUAGGAGACCACCUAGGUAGACCAGAUGCUGUAAGCA
rnacentral:rRNA from 1 species